rnacentral:rRNA from 1 species
GUUGGUGAGGUAACGGCUCACCAAGACAACGAUGUCUAGGGGUUCUGAGAGGAUUGUCCCCCACACUGGUACUGAGACACGGACCAGACUCCUACGGGAGGCAGCAGUGAGGAAUAUUGGUCAAUGGGCGAGAGCCUGAACCAGCCAUGCCGCGUGCAGGAUGAAUGCGCUAUGCGUUGUAAACUGCUUUUCUACAGGAAGAAACCUACCCUCGUGAGGGUAGCUGCCGGUACUGUAGGAAUAAGCACCGGCUAACUCCGUGCCAGCAGCCGCGGUAAUACGGAGGGUGCAAGCGUUAUCCGGAUUUAUUGGGUUUAAAGGGUGCGUAGGCGGAAUAAUAAGUCAGUGGUGAAAUCCUGCGGCUCAACCGUAGAACUGCCAUUGAUACUGUUAUUCUUGAAUAUAGUUGAGGUAGGCGGAAUGUGUAAUGUAGCGGUGAAAUGCUUAGAUAUUACACAGAACACCGAUUGCGAAGGCAGCUUGCUAAACUAUUAUUGACGCUGAUGCACGAAAGCGUGGGGAGCGAACAGGAUUAGAUACCCUGGUAGUCCACGCUGUAAACGAUGAUCACUCGUUGUUUGCGAUAUAUUGUAAGCGACUGAGCGAAAGCAUUAAGUGAUCCACCUGGGGAGUACGUUCGCAAGAAUGAAACUCAAAGGAAUUGACGGGGGCCCGCACAAGCGGAGGAACAUGUGGUUUAAUUCGAUGAUACGCGAGGAACCUUACCUGGGUUUAAAUGUAGGUUGCAUGAGUGGGAAACUACUCUUUCCUUCGGGACUACUUACAAGGUGCUGCAUGGUUGUCGUCAGCUCGUGCCGUGAGGUGUCGGGUUAAGUCCCAUAACGAGCGCAACCCCUAUCGUUAGUUGCCAGCAAGUAAAGUUGGGGACUCUAACGAGACUGCCGGUGUAAACCGAGAGGAAGGUGGGGAUGACGUCAAAUCAGCACGGCCCUUAUAUCCAGGGCUACACACGUGUUACAAUGGUCGAUACAAAGAGCAGCCACUUGGUGACAAGGCGCUAAUCUCAAAAGUCGAUCACAGUUCGGAUCGAAGUCUGCAACUCGACUUCGCGAAGUUGGAUUCGCUAGUAAUCGCGCAUCAGCCACGGCGCGGUGAAUACGUUCCCGGGCCUUGUACACACCGCCCGUCAAGCCAUGGAAGCUGGGGGUGCCUGAAGUCCGUAACCGUAAGGAGCGGCCUAAGGUAAAACUAGUGACUGGGGCUAAGUCGUAACAAGGUA